GAGUUUGAUCGUGGCUCAGGACGAACGCUGGCGGCGUGCUUAACACAUGCAAGUCGAACGAGAAUCUACUGAAAGAGUUUUCGGACAAUGGAAGUAGAGGAAAGUGGCGGACGGGUGAGUAACGCGUGAGGAACCUGCCUUGAAGAGGGGGACAACAGUUGGAAACGACUGCUAAUACCGCAUGAUGCAUAAGGGUCGCAUGAUUCUUAUGCCAAAGAUUUAUCGCUUCAAGAUGGCCUCGCGUCUGAUUAGCUAGUUGGCGGGGUAACGGCCCACCAAGGCGACGAUCAGUAGCCGGACUGAGAGGUUGAACGGCCACAUUGGGACUGAGAUACGGCCCAGACUCCUACGGGAGGCAGCAGUGGGGAAUAUUGGGCAAUGGGCGCAAGCCUGACCCAGCAACGCCGCGUGAAGGAAGAAGGCUUUCGGUAUGUAAACUUCUAUCAGCAGGGAAGAAAAUGACGGUACUGACUAAGAACGCCCGGCGUAACUACGUGCCAGCAGCCGCCGU
rnacentral:rRNA from 1 species